rnacentral:rRNA from 1 species
UACGAAGGGGGCUAGCGUUGCUCGGAAUCACUGGGCGUAAAGGGUGCGUAGGCGGGUCUUUAAGUCAGGGGUGAAAUCCUGGAGCUCAACUCCAGAACUGCCUUUGAUACUGAAGAUCUUGAGUUCGGGAGAGGUGAGCGGAACUGCGAGUGUAGAGGUGAAAUUCGUAGAUAUUCGCAAGAACACCAGUGGCGAAGGCGGCUCACUGGCCCGAUACUGACGCUGAUGCACGAAAGCGUGGGGAGCAAACAGG